CUUGAUAAUAAUUACGCCGCUCAAAGCUGAAUGGCCCCGGGCAAGCGAGCAUGCAGGCACUUGGUUAGUAAGGGAGAUCACUGAAAUGCCCGUCGACUUGAAGCCCAGUGAAUGUGUAUGCCCAUUAAGGUGGCACAGGAAAAGGAUCGGUGAGUCUAUACUAUCCGCAUUCUAUGCCCAAGCAGCCUGAAGCAAACCCUUCACGACGCAAGUGGAAAUCACCGGAUCCGUCCACUUACAAAUACAGCCACCUUCCUUAAAAAAUUCGACGUAUGAAGGUUUCACGCAUACGGCAUUAAGUAAAGGUUCUGCCCUUUACGUAAACCCAAAGGUCAAAAUCGAGAAGACAAAUGACACAGGACUGGAAUGGCUAUUUAAUGUCACAGCCGCAGAUUGAGAUUAGCCGGCCUCGGAUAAUAAUGGUUUUAAGCUGACUGAUCCUUUUUUCACGCAGUAUCACAAUUGACCCUAUCUUGCUGCAGCCAGAACGUUUUUUGCAUCCAGUGCCUUUAUGUUGGUCCAUAAAAAAAGCUUACAAUAGCUGACGAUAGAGUCUGCCACUAACUGGUGCCAGCGUUCCAUUAUUUCUUUUGAAAUAAACGACCUAAUGACAUGUUUGAUCUUCAAACCACAUCACUCAGAUCUUUGCGAACGAACUGGUUGUUUGAAAUCUACACUUGGCUUUAUUAUAACAAAUUGUGCAAUAAAGAAAAAUCGCUAAAGCAUGUCUUGCGUAUGUUAGCGCCUCAUUUGGUUGAUUGAUCGUAGCGCUAACAUGUGAUUAGCAAAUAAAUGACGCUCCUGGAUCUUUAAUUGUUGAGUCAGCUGUACGGCUAAAGAGACGGCUUUCGUUUUAGAUCGGUCGCUGGUUGUUACUCAGUAAGCCAAGUUGUUGAGUAUGACGUCGUGCUAAGGUUGUUGGAUCGGCAUCCAUAUUCCUUUAUACUUUAACGAUGUUGACUUGUUCGGCCAAUGGUAAUCUUCCCGAGAUAAGCCGGAUGUCUUCAAUGUUUGCCUCGCCAACGAGAAGUCUCUUUCGUAUAAUCAAUAACACUUAUGGACUCUCGUCUCAAUUGUAAAUUUUCAAGAGGAAUAA